rnacentral:rRNA from 1 species
AUUCAACGGCCGCGGUAUCAUAACCGCGCAAAGGUAGCGUAAUCACCUGUCUUCUAAAUAGAGACCUGUAUGAACGGCUCAUUGAAGGUUCAACUGUCUCCUAUAGCCAACCAAUGAACUUGAUCUCCCAGUACAAAAGCUGAGAUAUCCACACAAGACAAGAAGACCCUGUGGAGCUUUAAACCUACCACUACACAAACUAAUUGCCUAUAAGGCAUAAAAAAUUCACAUAGUAUAAACUUUAAGUUGGGGCAACUGUGGAGAAAAACUAAACCUCCAUGAAUCCAGGCUUACCCCUGCCGCAAGGCCUACAAGCCAAACAGCUCUAUACAUUGACCCAGUAGUACUGAAAACCGAACCAAGUUACCCCAGGGAUAACAGCGCCAUCUCCCUUAAGAGCCCGUAUCGCCAGGGAGGCUUACGACCUCGAUGUUGGAUCAGGACACCCCGGUGGCGAAGCCACUACCAAAGGUUCGUUUGUUCAACGAUUAAUGUCCUA